GUGCUUGCUUUGGCAGCACAUAUACUAAAGCUGGAACAAUACAGGAAAGAUUAGCACGGCCCCUGUGCAAAGAGGAGACACAAAUUCCUGGAGCCUGGCAUAUUUUU
ensembl:snRNA U6 U6 spliceosomal RNA